GGUUGUUUUUGGCUGUUUUCCCUAGGGGACCUCUAGCGCACCUCUUCUCCACUCCUUUUCUGCGGCAGCACCAGCGCAUGCGCCGCCGUCACUCGCUGCUCAUAGCGGCUGCGCGGCGUACUGCCGCCAACUAUAACUUAAGCGGAGGGAGGAUGUACGCUGCAGCAUCAGUCCUGACCUCUUUUGCCGAAUGGAUUUGGGGUAGCUUGCACAGGCACUUUUUCAUGGAGCUGAUAGUAUAGAGAUUGGGAUUUGGGGACUAUUCAUUAGAUUGGUUUGAGCUGGAGAUCGUCAUCUUCUGGAAGUAUGUGGUAUGACAGAGAUGAGGGUAGAUUAAAUAGAGUUGAUAUCCAUUGCUAGAGGAAAAAGCACGAAUGGUCAUUUUGCGUUGCUGGGUAACAUGAUGAUUUGAGGAGCAUGACUGGCAAACCCACCUUCAGUUUUAACUUAUGGUCAGCGAUUCCUAGGGAUGUCAAGGUGUUGAGGAACUCAGUAGGCUGCAUGUUGCCUUGCACACUGUGUCCAGGCUUAGGGUGUUCGUACGGAAUUUGCGAAGAAAGCUGGGAUGGGAAGAUUUGAGCAAACAUCAAGCAGUUGUAUAUUACCGAAAGUAGAUGAUGUUUCCGUCGUUCCUUCCUUUGGCCUUCAAUGUGCAAGCAGUUAUAUAUAUUAUUACCCAAAAUAGAUGAUGUUUCUGUCGUUCCUUCUUUAGGCCUUCGAUGUGUCUAGGCGUCUUGCCGCCCCAUUGGAUACGCGGGGUGUCAUGCCGAUCUUGCUGGUGCAAUCGAUCGUCCUCGGCCUGUGUUGAUGUGUUAUUACCCAAAGUUGAUGUUGUUUUUGUUGUUCCUUCUUCGGGCCUUCGACAUGAUGCAUGUCCUACCAUCCCCUUUGAUAGGCGAGGCAUCGACCUUGCAGGUGCAGCUGAUCGUCCUCGGCAUCCACCUUGCCGGUGCAACUGAUCGUCCUUAGCAUCGACCUUGCUGGUGCAACUGAUCGUCCUUGGCAUGUGUUGUGACAUGUGGCGGCGUGUGUUGAUUUGCUGGGUGUGAUGUCUUGUAAUGUUUCUAUGUUGCGGAUAUGUCAACCUGAGAAACAGCAUAUGUCCGUGUACGGCGUGCAAUAUUAUAGAACGUGUCCUUGCCUAAUUCAAGUUUGUACGUGAAACAGUAUAUGUAUGUCUUGCCUAAUAUGUAUGUCUCCUUGCCUAAUAUGCA